AACGAACGCUGGCGGCAUGCCUAACACAUGCAAGUCGAACGAGACCUUCGGGUCUAGUGGCGCACGGGUGCGUAACGCGUGGGAACCUGCCCUUAUGUUCGGCAUAACUCCCCGAAAGGGGUGCUAAUACCGGAUCAUGUCUUCUGACCAAAGAUUUAUCGCCUUUGGAUGGGCCCGCGUUGGAUUAGCUAGUUGUUAGGGUAAAAGCCUACCAAGGCGACGAUCCAUAGCUGGUCUGAGAGGAUGAUCAGCCACACUGGGACUGAGACACGGCCCAGACUCCUACGGGAGGCAGCAGUGGGGAAUAUUGGACAAUGGGCGAAAGCAUGAGCCAGCAAUGCCGCGUGAGUGAUGAAGGCAUUAGGGUUGUAAAGCUCUUUUAACCGGGAUGAUAAUGACAGUACCGGGAGAAUAAGCUCCGGCUAACUCCGUG
rnacentral:rRNA from 1 species